GAUAAACGCUGGCGGCGUGCCUAAUACAUGCAAGUCGAACGGAAGGUUUGUAGCAAUACUGACCUUUAGUGGCGAAUGGGUGAGUAACGCGUUGGUGACCUGCCCCGAAGAGAGGGACAACAGUUCGAAAGGACUGCUAAUACCUCAUGUGGUUACAAGGACUAGAUGCCUUGUAUCUAAAGGAGCAAUCCGCUUCGGGAGGGACCUGCGUCCCAUCAGCUAGUUGGUAGGGUAACGGCCUACCAAGGCUACGACGGGUAGGGGGCCUGAGAGGGUGGCCCCCCACAUUGGCACUGAAACACGGGCCAAACACCUACGGGUGGCUG
rnacentral:rRNA from 1 species